rfam:Ovis aries breed Texel chromosome 11, whole genome shotgun sequence.
UCCCUGGUGGUUUAGUGGUGAUGACUCUGUGUUUCCACUGCAGGGGGAUGGGUUCAAUACCUGGUCAGGGAA